rnacentral:rRNA from 1 species
GUCCAGACUCCUACGGGAGGCAGCAGUGGGGAAUAUUGCACAAUGGGGGAAACCCUGAUGCAGCGACGCCGCGUGAGCGAUGAAGUAUUUCGGUAUGUAAAGCUCUAUCAGCAGGGAAGAAGAUGACGGUACCUGACUAAGAAGCCCCGGCUAACUACGUGCCGGCAGCCGCGGUAAUACGUAGGGGGCAAGCGUUAUCCGGAUUUACUGGGUGUAAAGGGAGCGUAGACGGCGAUGCAAGCCAGAUGUGAAAGCCCGGGGCUCAACCCCGGGACUGCAUUUGGAACUGUGUGGCUGGAGUGUCGGAGAGGCAGGCGGAAUUCCUAGUGUAGCGGUGAAAUGCGUAGAUAUUAGGAGGAACACCAGUGGCGAAGGCGGCCUGCUGGACGAUGACUGACGUUGAGGCUCGAAAGCGUGGGGAGCAAACAGGAUUAGAUACCCGCGUA